rnacentral:rRNA from 1 species
GACGAACGCUGGCGGCGUGCUUAACACAUGCAAGUCGAACGGAAAGGCCCUGCUUUUGUGGGGUGCUCGAGUGGCGAACGGGUGAGUAACACGUGGGUAACCUGCCCUUGACUUUGGGAUAACUUCAGGAAACUGGGGCUAAUACCGGAUAGGAGCUCCUGCUGCAUGGUGGGGGUUGGAAAGUUUCGGCGGUUGGGGAUGGACUCGCGGCUUAUCAGCUUGUUGGUGGGGUAGUGGCUUACCAAGGCUUUGACGGGUAGCCGGCCUGAGAGGGUGACCGGCCACAUUGGGACUGAGAUACGGCCCAGACUCCUACGGGAGGCAGCAGUGGGGAAUAUUGCACAAUGGGCGGAAGCCUGAUGCAGCAACGCCGCGUGCGGGAUGACGACCUUCGGGUUGUAAACCGCUUUCGCCUGUGACGAAGCGUGAGUGACGGUAAUGGGUAAAGAAGCACCGGCUAACUACGUG